UUUUAAUUUUCCACUCGGACAGAGAGAGCUCUGUCGAUACACUGCGAUCGAGGUGAAACAGGGGAAGGAAAAACAAACGAACAAAUAAUGCCUGUACAUUUUAAAGAUCUUUAACAUUUAACCGCUGUCUGACACGGUGAGUCCGUUGAGUUUCCGUCGAAACUUGUAAACAAGUGCUGAACAACAGUGUAGUAGUGUAACACGUCAGCAACUGAGAGCAGGGACGGGAAGGGGCUGGUCUCUGUGCAGUGCUGCACACGCGUUGCACACUAACGUUACAACACACAUCUGUCCCUGCCGGUGGAGAGUGUGCAGAAGAGUCGUGCAGGUCUGAAAGCAAGUGUGUGGGUGUGUGUGUACUGGCCAGGGCGACGGCCAAUAGGCAUGCAAUCAGCAUUGUUAUGGCAGGAUGUCAACUGUCAAAGCUGGGGGAACUGAAGAUGAAUGCCUCCCCCCUCCUUGUUUAACAUGGAGAAACCUCAGUGUUGGCUGGUUUGUUUUUUGGUUUUGUUUUAGGGUUUGUUUGUUUUUGUUUUUUUGUAAUUUCUUUUGUUUGUUUGCUUUUAGUCUAGUGUUUUGUUUUGUUUUGUUUUGUGGGGGGGGUUGUUUUGUUUUUUUGGAAGAGGAUCUACACAGCAUCCGAAACAUAUCAACCUUCCUGAAGAUUGGGAAGGACGCUGUUGAAGCACUGAAUAGAAACACUAAAUUUUUUUGGCACUUAAUUAAAAGUUACUUCCUCUAAAAGCAGUCGAUGUAGCAGUGUGCAAUUAGGUUUAAUUUACUUUUUUGCUCCUUUUUUUUUUCUUUUUUCUUUUUUUAACUACCUGUGUGUAAAUAAAAAAAAUAUAUAUAUAUAAAUAUAUAAACAUAUAUUAUUUCUCUCCAUAUGUAGCACAUAAGACAUUAUGAUUUAAAAAGAAAUCCUUUAUGUAAAACGGUGUGAAUUUUGAUUUGACUUGAAUUGCAAUGUUUGAUAAAUGUUUCCAAAAUGCUGUUCUCUUGUUUUAAUUUUUUUUCUUUUUUCUUUUUUUUUUGGGGGGGGGGGGGGUGUUGACACAGUCCCUAAUUGCUACAUUUAAAACAAAAAAUUUUGGCUUCUUACGGUUUCUUAAUAGUGUUUCUUCCCUCGUCAUCUUCCUAACUCAGCAUUGAAGAAUGGUACAAAUGUAGCGUUUUUUUGAUUUUUAAUAAUUUUUUCCCCCCUUUUUCUGCUAAGUCUAGUGUCACCAAGUGUAAAUUCUCCUAUACGAUCUAGUUUAACAGGAAGAAGUGUAAUAUUUGUGUAAGGACAGUCUUUAAGUCCCUUGAUAUUUAUUUUGUAAUUGAGGUGCUUUUAGCAUCAGCUUAAUCCUGGAAUAAGAUUUUUUUUUUUUUUUUUUUCCCCUCCCACGCUCUGGAGUUGCGAGGUACUCAGAUAUUGAAGGACAAAGACUAUACAAACUGCACAGGUUGAGUUCUCUUUGACUGUUCCUAUUGUUUGAUGAACAUUAAGGCUUGUGAGGGGUUUUGUUUGUUUUUGGGUUUUUUUUGGUUUUUUUGUUAAAGGGUUGAAUGUCCUACAAUACCAAAUACAUGGUUGCAUCAAUAUAUUUGCCAGCACUGCUUGUGCUCUUCAAUUGACUUCACAUUGUGUUACUUUGUGAUAACCGAGAGAUGUUUGUACUUUUCUCAUCAAUGUUGUUAGCCUGCUGAGGAUGCACAUGAGCAUCUAAAAGCUUCCCUUUAUUUGCCUGAAGUGUGGUUUUUUUUUUUUUUUUUUUUUUUUUUUUGAAAAAGACCAGGGUACACCUAAAUGGAGACAGAAAACAGCUCGUCUCUGGAAUGCAGUCACCAUGCCUGUGUAUUAUGUAAAUCUUUGCAAUGUACCUUUGUACAUAAUUUUGUAAAAACACUGAGAAAUAUACUAACUUAUUUAUGUCAAGCCUUUUUUUUUUUUUUUUUUUUAUGUAGAAUAAAAAAAUAUGGGUUUUUGAUUACGGUUAUCCAAAGUGGCAUUUACUUUAUUAUAAUUGUUUUAUUUUGUAAAACCAUAUUUUUGGUAGUGUUUUGUUUUGUUUCUUUUCUUAUAAAGGUUGCAAACUGAGCCUGGUAAAAUAUUUUGAUGUGCAUUUUUUUAAUGUGUGGUUAUAAAAUGUAUUGCAAUCAAUUAAAAAAGAAAAAAAUGAGUUGUGGUUCCUUCUUACACUCGGUGUAAAUUACACACUUGGUUUGUAGAAAAAUAGGAUGAAAAUAGUUUUUGCUUUGUUCAUUCCCCAAAUCAUUGGGACGUACAAAGUAUUUGCAACAGCUGUGUGGGUGGACUUCCUGGAAUAAUACAGUGACACUCCCAAUAUAAUUCCAUCAGCACUAUGAGCAGCAGGUUGACACUUUAGUCAUCCAAUCAAAAAGACAGUGGGGAAAGCAGACCACUCGCUGCAGCCAGUAACAUUUAGUAAUUUAUGGGUAAGGCUUUCAUUUGCUUUUAAUCUCAGUACAAGAGUCUUUUGAAUGCAAAGUAAAACAAGGCAAGUCAGGUUUUUUGUUUUGUUAGGCUUUUUUUUAUUUUUAUUUUUUUUUUACCAUUUGUUUUUUCUUUUUCACUAUUUACAUGGGCUUAGUUGCAUCUGUCUGUGUCUAUAAAAAGUGUGUGUGUGUAAGAAAAUAAGGGAGUGUGUAACUGGAAGACCCAGAGUGAUUUUUUUUAAAAACUUUUCUUUCAUACAUGUGUCUUCUAUAAUAUAUCAAAUUCAUCAAAAUUUUAUUUUUAUAAAUUUUUAUUUAAUUCAAGUAAUUUUUUUGAAUGUGUACAAUGCAAUGUGCACACAAGCUCAGUAUUGUACUUAUAUACAUUUUAAUCUUCGAACUGAAAAAUCAUAAUUAUGUCUUUUAUAUGUUUAAAAUUAAUUCACAUAGGUAUUGAUUUGGUUUGACCCUUAAUCAGUCAAAAUUAUAAUUUGCAUUUUUUUUUUUGUAAUUAAAUCACCUACAGUAAUCCACUUGAAACAUGAAAAAGAUCAAAUAAAGGAUGAAUUAGUAAAUGAAAGGUGUUCUUACAGGUGCUAUCAGGCAACACAUAUGUGCCAUUGUACACCAACUUUCAUCCAGUACUUGAUAAUAAUAGUAAUAAUAAUAUAAAGAGAAUUCCUCAGAGUAAGUGUUGUUCAAUCUGGCUGUCGUGAGUCUGAAACUCAGUAGAAAACUGACUCAGUGAUGCUACUUCAAAUAAAUUGGUGUUUCUAUUAAACAGAAGUGUCUUAAUGUUGUACUUUUCAGCUUUCUUGUCACUCUGAGUGAUGUAUGCUAAAAGUGGAGCCCUAACCUGUGCUGAGAUGCUCUUUGACCUCUAGUAACUUCACUAAAUGUUUUCACUGCACAGAAUUUCCCAACUUCCUUCUUGUAUGAGCAGCACAGGAAGACACCUGUGCUUAGAGCAUUUUAAAGCUGGAUGGGUGGAGGCUGUGCAUUUGAGUGUGCCCAAGAGAUGGUGGGGGUGUGAGUGGUGUGGUACGGUAAAAGUGUGUGGGGGAUGGGUCCACUCCUGAAGUGUGCAGGUGGGUAACCUCAGCUCAGCCAUGCACCCCCACUCUGAGCUUGUCCCAUUGUCCCAGUGUGUGGGCUUUUGUGUGGACAGCCAUUGUAAGAGCCCAGGGCUGGCCACUGUUGUGUCUGGGGCUUCUCUGCUCAAACAAAGGCCCCGUCUAUGAGCCUCCACCCUACCCAAACAGCAGACUGACUGACUGACUUGGUGUCUGACUGACAGACUAGGUGGCUGACUAACUGACUGAAUGGCUGACUGGGUGCCUGAUUGGUUGAGUGAUUGAUUGGAUGGAGCAGAAGAGUGGAAGUACUGUGUUUCAGGCAAUCUGUAAUACUCAGUGUACAUCAGUGUCACUUAUAUACGUGAUACUGUUAAAUGUAUGAUGAAUGAAAUACCAAAUAAGUUUUUUACUAUCAUAAUAUGUAUAAAAUGCAUUAGCUUUAAUGGGAUUUUGACAGUUAGGGUGAUCAUUUAAAAACAAAGUGCUAUAAGUUGUGAAAUGACGCAGGCUGAUGAGGCACUCAAGGGACAUGUUCUGAAA
ensembl:lncRNA